AGACAAGAGAAUGUUCACAUUAAUGUGAACAAUUUCCAAAGUACUUUUCUUUGUGUGAGAUAUGUGGGGGUUAAUAUCUCCACUUUCCAGGCAGGGAAUGGAGGCUCAGGGAGGUGGUGCCUUCAUCGCAGGUCAUACAGCUGGCGAGGAGCCCCUCUGCCACUGUGCAGUUGGCUGUUGCCUGAGGACACUGCAGACCCAUGGCAGAGUCUCACUCUGAACACAGAAGCUCAAAUAGUUUCAUAGAAGCACCAUAAUGGCUGUUGUCCUUGCCCUGUUUGUGGCUCUCAACACUGCUGAAAAGCAGAUUCUGGAAAGCGGUGCUUGCAAAUGGAGUGUGUUUGGCUUGCUAGGCCACAUUUCACCUGCUGUCCUUCUCUUUCAGAGACUGUGGACUUACAGAAGCUGGACAAAAGAGCACUUGCUCUGGCAUCAGGGUAAUUGCAACCUGCUAAUAGCUUGCUCAGCACUCAGCACUUGUGGUCUAGAUGCUAUCUCGUUAACCUUCCUGGUGUGUGUGAGGCAAGUGCUCCUGAAGAUGCUGCGCCACAAGCAGGAUCAUCAUUUCAAUCAUAUAAUAAUUUUUUCAAUAGUAUAAGCAAUCAUCAACCCACUGAAAGUCCUUCAUCUGAUCACUAGAUGAAAAGUCCCAUGGAUUCAGGAAGUCCCUGUCUAAUAAGAAAGGUGGGUAACCUUUAUGAUGCAUCUUAAAU
rnacentral:lncRNA from 1 species